GCAAAUGCUAUGAAAAGAAGAGUAAUGGUUAUAAAGCCUAAAGAGAGCUACAGAUGGUGGAAAGUAGUGGUGGAGUAAUUAUGAAGAUGGUCUUGAAGCAGAUUUUCUGAACAAUGAUUAUUUAUAGUAGGAAAAUACGUGGUACACGUUACGUACAGAGUGAAUGAUUCACUUGCAGAGCUAAGCUAGGUAACUAGCUUGGGAAUUAGAGUGGUAGCGCGGUUUAACGCCUCUAAA
rnacentral:ncRNA from 1 species